GACAGAGGAUGCGAACGUUGUUCGGAAUUACUGGGCGUAAAGCGCAUGUAGGCGGCAGCGCAAAUCGGGCGUGAAAUCCCACGGCUCAACCGUGGAAGUGCACUCGAAACUGCGCAGCUAGAGUCCUGGAGAGGAAGGUGGAAUGCUUGGUGUAGAGGUGAAAUCCGUAGAUAUCGGGAGGAACACCAGAGGCGAAGGCGGCUCUCUGGCUCAUUUCUGACGCUGAGACGCGAAAGCGUGGGGAGCAAACAGG
rnacentral:rRNA from 1 species